rnacentral:rRNA from 1 species
GACGAACGCUGGCGGCGUGCUUAACACAUGCAAGUCGAGCGGUAAGGCCCUUUCGGGGGGUACACGAGCGGCGAACGGGUGAGUAACACGUGGGUGACCUGCCCUCAGCUCUGGGAUAAGCCUGGGAAACCGGGUCUAAUACUGGAUAUGACUCCAUGACGCAUGUUGUGGGGUGGAAAGCCUUGUGCGGCUGAGGAUGGGCCCGCGGCCUAUCAGCUUGUUGGUGGGGUGANGGCCUACCAAGGCGACGACGGGUAGCCGGCCUGAGAGGGCGACCGGCCACACUGGGACUGAGACACGGCCCAGACUCCUACGGGAGGCAGCAGUGGGGAAUCUUGCGCAAUGGGCGAAAGCCUGACGCAGCGACGCCG